GGCAUGGUGCCAACUCAAGAAUUGAUAGCAGGAAGAUGGUGAGGAGGUGGAAAUUUUGACAAAGUAAUAAACUGCACUGCAUUGCAUUACAGAAGAGAGAUAGAUAGAUAGUUCGUGGGCUGCAGCAACACCACGAGUGGGCCGCGGCGCCACCAGCGGCGCCGCUGGGCAUAGAUCACGGUGGUGCUUUCUCUCCUCCUCCUGACAGCCUGGAAUGGGGCGCCUUGACCUCGUCCACUCUCCAAAGCCCACUCCACGCAUCACGCUUACAAGCUCCGGCGCAGUGGUGCUCUGCCGAUUGGAGUAGCGGCCGCCAUGGAUUCUCCGGCAAGGGCCUCAACUGGUGCAUCCAAAACAGCCAAGUUCUUGGCAUAUCACCCAGAUGAUCCGUGGAUGUGAGCUCGAUUUGCAGUUGUUCGCGGAUUUUGCUCACGUUGGGGACGACGCCGGCAUUUUUGCUGGUGUGGUUCCAGGUAUUUAAAAACUUGUAUAGUUCAUUUCGAGCUUGGGAAGUUUUCUCUUCACUUUUCGUUUC